CACUCCUGGAGCUCAGCCGAGAACCCACCCUCUCAUAUUGUGGGUUCUCAGCCCCUUGUGUGACUCUCUGCCUAGGUACCUGGAGGGGUCACUGCCCCGGUUGCCCCACCAGACAGGAUGCUGUCUCCACCAAGGUAACCCAUUGUUCCAGCCCUCCGACCAUGGCCUCUCGCAGGACCCCUGGGAAUCACCCUCAUCUGUCACUGUUUCCCCACCGGGACCCACCACCGAGGCUACCAGGGAAAAGCCACAGGAUUUGUUUGCAUCUGGGGAGGCAGCUCCACCUUCCUGGCAUGAAUGGUCACUAAUGAUUGGACUUUGUCAGCCUGCAAGGCAGGAAGGAGAUUUACUCUCCACAGACUGGACAGUCCUUAGCUUUGUGCUUGCCACAUAAAUGGCAUUUAAUACAUGCUCCCUGGACUCAGCACCACUCCUGAAGGCCUGUAUUGUGGUCAGCAGUUAUCAUUUCUUCCACAAAUGAGCUCAUUCUUCUCCUCUCAGGAUCAACCCUUUCGCCUUCACUGAGGCAUCAGACACCAGCAUUCGGAGGGACACCCACUCCAUCCUCUUCUCUCAGCUGCCUGUGGAAAUUCCCAUCUCAAACACGUGACUCCCCACAGAGUGGCACUCACUGAUCACGGAUCUUAACUUUAAAAGGUGAAAAAUAAGUCAAGGCUUAAGGUAAAGUAACGGGAGGUGUGGAUGUCUGAGCAAUGCGGUGAACCGAGUCACGGGGCCGCGGAGAUGUUCGCAGCUGGGACUUUCCAGGCCUCCCGAACGCAGAGCGCCCGAAGCCAUCAGUGGCCACAGAGUGUGUUUCAGGUGUGAUUUGGGGUCAUUUAUGCCAAUUUUAUUCUUCUUUUAUUUCCAUCUGGUUUUCUUUCUAUAAAUUGCAUACGUCAUGCAUGCUACGUUUUAUAGUCAUCCGUGUGACAUCCGUCUCGCACAGUGAGUUAAGGAGGACGUUCCGCUACAGCUGUACUUUUUACUCAGCAAAAUAAAAAAAGAAUAAAGAUGAGCUUGAAACUCCUUUGGAAUCACUACAUUAUCUGUUGCUUAGCAAAAGCAAUCCAUGAAUAACACACAUGUACACACAUGAUACACAUUCAUACACACACAAAAACACGUCUGCACAUAUGUGUAUACAUACACAUAGAGACAUAGGCACACAUGCUCUGAAGGUCUGCAUGGUGGAAAAUUCUAGACAUGUUCAUUUCUACUUCCUGCCAAGCGCUGAAAACUUGGUGUGCCUGAAAAAUCACUUGGCUUCUGUAACCAGAUUUACCAAAUUAAAAAAUUAAAACUGUCCAAGUGUAGAGGCA
rnacentral:lncRNA from 10 species